rnacentral:rRNA from 1 species
UGCCAGACUCCUACGGGAGGCAGCAGUGAGGAAUAUUGGUCAAUGGGCGGGAGCCUGAACCAGCCAAGUCGCGUGAGGGAAGACGGUCCUAUGGAUUGUAAACCUCUUUUGUCGGGGAGCAAAGAGGCCACGUGUGGUCAAAAGCGAGAGUACCCGAAGAAAAAGCAUCGGCUAACUCCGUGCCAGCAGCCGCGGUAAUACGGAGGAUGCGAGCGUUAUCCGGAUUUAUUGGGUUUAAAGGGUGCGUAGGCGGGACGGUAAGUCAGCGGUAAAAUGUCCGGGCUCAACCCGGGCCGGCCGUUGAAACUGGGGAUCUUGAGUGGGCGAGAAGUAUGCGGAAUGCGUGGUGUAGCGGUGAAAUGCAUAGAUAUCACGCAGAACUCCGAUUGCGAAGGCAGCAUACCGGCGCCCGACUGACGCUGAGGCACGAAAGCGUGGGGAUCGAACAGGAUUAGAUACCCGGGUA